CCAAUCUGAGGACAUGAAGAAACCACCCAGUGUCCAUCUGUAACCGUGAUUGGCAGGAAGGCUGGCAGCCAGCCCAGGUUCCCAUGGGAUGCUGAUGACACCGAUUCAGGAACCACACUGAGAACUAAUGGGUUAGAACGUCUGCUAGAAGACCUGGAGGAAGCUGAAAAGAUUGACUGUUGAUCAAUUUUCAUUGAUAUGGUGAUGGCCAACCCCUGACUUCAUGGCCAGUCAACAGGCAGCUCUGGGAUACGGCUGGUCAGCAGUGCUGGCUAGUAGGUGUCACACCCUUCUGACAGAUUGUUCAUUCAUUAAAUACUUUGAGUACACGCUAAGCUCUCUGCUGGACACAGGAUACGAGGUCAAAGAGACUAUAUUUCAACCAACUGCCAAUCAGACAGGACUGGAUAACUUCCAAGUGGCACGGCUACUAACCCAUUACU